UACAGAGGGGGCGAGCGUUGUUCGGAAUUACUGGGCGUAAAGGGCGCGUAGGCGGCCUGCUAAGUCGGACGUGAAAUCCCCUGGCUCAACCAGGGAACUGCGUCCGAUACUGGCGGGCUUGAAUCCGGGAGAGGUGAGUGGAAUUCCUAGUGUAGAGGUGAAAUUCGUAGAUAUUAGGAAGAACACCAGUGGCGAAGGCGGCUCACUGGCCCGGUACUGACGCUGAGGCGCGAAAGCGUGGGGAGCAAACAGG
rnacentral:rRNA from 1 species